GUGUUCGCUUCAGCAGCCCAUAUACUAAAACCAGAAUGAUACAGAGAUGAUUCACAUGGCCCCCGUGCAAGGAGACACAAAUCGUGACGCGUUCCCUAUCUUU